AUUGAACGCUGGCGGCAGGCCUAACACAUGCAAGUCGAGCGGAUGAAGGGAGCUUGCUCCUGGAUUCAGCGGCGGACGGGUGAGUAAUGCCUAGGAAUCUGCCUGGUAGUGGGGGAUAACGUCCGGAAACGGGCGCUAAUACCGCAUACGUCCUGAGGGAGAAAGUGGGGGAUCUUCGGACCUCACGCUACCAGAUGAGCCUAGGUCGGAUUAGCGAGUUGGUGGGGUAAAGGCCUACCAAGGCGACGAUCCGUAACUGGUCUGAGAGGAUGAUCAGUCACACUGGAACUGAGACACGGUCCAGACUCCUACGGGAGGCAGCAGUGGGGAAUAUUGGACAAUGGGCGAAAGCCUGAUCCAGCCAUGCCGCGUGUGUGAAGAAGGUCUUCGGAUUGUAAAGCACUUUAAGUUGGGAGGAAGGGCAGUAAGUUAAUACCUUGCUGUUUUGACGUUACCAACAGAAUAAGCACCGGCUAACUUCGUG
rnacentral:rRNA from 1 species